GCGCGGCGUCACUGGCGUGGUGUGGUGUGUCUUUCAAUUUCGUUUGUACGAGUCACGUCUGCAGCGCUCCGAACCGGUCGUCCCGAGACGCGAACGCGGACGCGUGCUUGUGGGUCGAUGAACGAGUUUCUGCGGACAGGAUCAUUUAGCCACCAGAAGCGCCCGUUCACGAGCACGAGCCAUCGCCUCCAUCGACCAUAUUUUAGGGAAGGGAACGACCCGGACCACGACACCGCCACAAGCAUUAACACUUCCGUAAAUCAUAUGUCGGUAUUAACUAUUUGCAAUAAAAUAUAAUGUAUAUC